CAGUAGCCGCGGGAACACGGAGGGGGCUAGCGUUGUUCGGAAUUACUGGGCGUAAAGCGCACGUAGGCGGCUUGGUAAGUUAGAGGUGAAAGCCUGGAGCUCAACUCCAGAAUUGCCUUUAAGACUGCCGAGCUAGCAGGUGAGAGAGGUAAGUGGAAUUCCGAGUGUAGAGGUGAAAUUCGUAGAUAUUCGGAAGAACACCAGUGGCGAAGGCGGCUUACUGGCUCAUACUGGACGCUGAGGUGCGAAAGCGUGGGGAGCAAACAGGAUUAGAUACCCCCGUAGUCCCUGUCUCUUAUAA
rnacentral:rRNA from 1 species